GACGAACGCUGGCGGCGUGCCUAAUACAUGCAAGUCGAGCGAUGAAGAUUGGUGCUUGCACCAAUUUGAAGAGCAGCGAACGGGUGAGUAACGCGUGGGGAAUCUGCCUUUGAGCGGGGGACAACAUUUGGAAACGAAUGCUAAUACCGCAUAACAACUUUAAACAUAAGUUUUAAGUUUGAAAGAUGCAAUUGCAUCACUCAAAGAUGAUCCCGCGUUGUAUUAGCUAGUUGGUGAGGUAAAGGCUCACAAAGGCGAUGAUACAUAGCCGACCUGAGAGGUGGAGCGGCCACAUUGGGACGGAGACACGCCCCAAACUCCUACGGGAGGCAGCAGUAGGGAAUCUUCGGCAAGGGACGAAAGUCGGACCGAGCAACGCGGCGUGAGGGAAGAGGGUUUUCGGAUCGUAAAACUCUGUUGGUAGGGAAGAACGUUGGUGAGAGUGGAAAGCUCAUCAAGUGACGGUAACUACCCAGAAAGGGACGGCUAACUACGUG
rnacentral:rRNA from 1 species